UACACAGAAGCGACAAAGUGGUUUCCCGCGUAAGUCGAUUUCCAGUGCGCAUGUGCUAAAAUCGCCAUGGAAACAUGUUGUUUUUCCGUCAAGUAACCAAGCUUAUUUAUUUAUUUUUAGACUUAGUGUGAGUGGAUUAGUAUUAGUGACUAUUUAAACAGACAUAAUAUUUGUGAUGUAUCGUCGAGGGGGUUAUUAUUUUAUUUGUCGAGGGUGCCCAUCCAAAACAGGUAGAGGACUAAGCUUCUUUCCAUUCCCGAAGACUCCAGCAGAGCUUCAGCAUGGUUGAGAGCAUGCAAUAGAAAGGAUCUUCUCGAGAAAAAUCCACAGACACAUAAUUAUCGACUUUGCGAGCUACAUUUUGAACAAAAAUAUUUGUUCAAAGGUGGACUUCGGAAAACUUUAUUUAUCUUUGUAUAAAAUGUUACAAAUACAGUGUGGUCUGUAAGUAAUGGCCCGUAGAGAAAUACUGAAUUCUUUACUUUUAAGAUUUUUUAAUAAUAAAAGCUCGUUACUUAAAAGCUUUCCGUUACUCAUAAAAAGAGUUACGCUCACAUUUACGUCACAUACUUGGCUUAUGUGGUGCCCUCUAGAAAAUACAUCGAAAUAAAUAACAGAUGAUCUCUCGUACCAAAAACAUUUACCCUAAAAUGUUUACAUUCUUAUAUCCAAUAACAUAAUUAUUACCAAAAUUUAAUUUUUAACUUCAACACCCUGUAUCUUUUUUAUUAUCAACAUUUUAUUAAGAAAUGUUGGCUCCAAUCGUAAUAUUUUGAAGUAAAGAAUCUAGUAUUUCUCUAUGGGCCUAUGGAAUAAUAAAUAAU